rnacentral:lncRNA from 1 species
UAUGGCUCGUCUGAAACUUUUAUUUAUUAUUAUUUCUUCUUCUCUUCCUCCUCUUUUUUUUUUUUUUUUUUUUGAGAAGAGAGGGGUGGGGUUUGUCAUGUCCUGUGUGAUCCAUCCAGACUGGACCCAAGCCCAGAAGCAGAUACCACCACUCCUAGCUUAAGUUGGGAUGAACCUGAGGGCUUUGCUGGGUACAUGGUUAUGCUACCAAUCCAUGUCCACAGCCUGGUUUGUCUUUUUGUUUUGGUUGUUUUUCCUUUUUACUAUGUAUACCCCUAUAGACAAAUCGCUAACUAGUUUAAAACUAUGUGCUAUUUUAAUCCUUCCUACUUCCCCUGUUUGAAAAUAAGUGCCUCUCAAAGCUGAGCGUGGCCUGUAUGUGUGUAGGGUCAGAGGACAACUUGAGGCCUUGGUUCUCUCCAUUAUGUGGGUUUCAGUGAUAGGGCUCAGGCUGUCUGGCUUUGUGAUGAGUGCUUCUACCUACCCCGUGACCUCCCUGGUCUUCCUGGAAUAUUUGUCCUUUCUUUUCCUUCCCAUGUUUCAGAUGUGCAUAAUGCGUGGCUAUGCUUGUGUGGAGUCUAUGUGCACACUCCCGUGCAUCCAUGUAGAGGCCCCAGGUAGACGCUGGAAAUCACCCUCAUCACCUGUGCAUGGAGGAAGGUCUCUAACCCAGGGCUUGCUAGCCAGAUCGCUGUAAGGAUCCUUUGUCUCUGCCCUCUGAGGCUGAAUCAACAAACAGGGAGGCCACCACACCUACCAUUUAUGGAAUUCUCAAAGAGCAAACUCUGGGACUGAGGGCGUAUGCCAAAAGUCCCGGGUUUCUUCCUGAAGAGGGGGAAAUAAAAAGAAGACUAUGACCCAAGAGUUUCAGGAAGGAUGUAAAUUUGUCAUUCCUAAAUGGCUGUGUGUACAGACGUGUGUGCGCGUGCGUGCGUGCGUGUGUGUGUGUGUGUGUGUGUGUGUGUGUGUGUGUGUGUGUGUAGUAGGUGCCUGGGCACAUGCAGCCUUAAAGGUGCUGUUGGUAUGUUCCUUGUUUGCUCUCCAGUUUAUUUAUUGAGGCAGGGUCUCUCAGUUGAGCCCAGAGCUCACGGAUCAGCUAGCCUGGGUGCUGCAGGGUUUUCUCUGCAUCUGGAGUGCUGGGAAUGUAGGUGGUCACCAUACCCACCCAAUAUUCCGUGGGUGUUAGGAUCCAAACUCUGGUCUUCAUAGCUGCAUGGCGCCCGAGCUGUCUCUCCAGCCCCAUUCUGCACGGUUUUAGGAUGACACGCACGAGUCUGUUCUCUCCUUCAGCUGUGUGGGACCAGUGACUUGAAGUCAGGCCAUCAGGCGUGGUUGGUGCCUUUACCCACUAAGCCAUUUUUUCAACCCUGCUUUGUUAGUUAAAUAAUGGUCUUGGGUUUUUCAAGACAGGGUUUCUCUAUGUCCUAGCUGCUCUGGAACUGACUCUAUAGACCAGGCUGGCUUUGAACUUAAGAGAUCUCUGUGCCUCUGCCUCCUGAGCUCUGGGAUUAAAGGUGGCAUGCCUGACAAUAAUGGGUUUCCUGAGAACGCUCUUAUAUUCGCUUUUACAAGAUCUUUGAUUUGACAUUUUUCAUUUAAAGCAUGGUGUCGUUGGAUGCUUCUCUGAAUUGCCUUUACCCUGCUGAGGUCUCCUUUCCCUCUGCCUCUUACCCUUUACUCUCCGGCAGAAGCAAAACCAAACAACAGACUGUGUUUCCUGUUUGGAAUCCCUGCUUAACUUUCUGAGUCCUCUUAAAAUUGGUGCUUUGAGCCCCAGUCUUCUCGUAUCUAAAAUAAUGGCAUGGGAGGGUUAGGAUGUCGUUUUUGCGGUGACAGCACCCACGUGCAAAAAUAAUAAAAAUGAACCAACCUAGGCGUCCGCAUUCUAUGUGCUUGCUUAUGUGUAUGUAGUUAGGAUCUUCCAUGGCAUUUAAAACAUCCUCCGCACUGUGCUCCUCAGCCACAGAGGUCACCAGCUUCCUGUGGUACCUGCUGUCCUGACCUUUAAUGGUCUCCUAGCAGAGUUGCUAGCGGGUAUGUUAGGGUGAGACCCGAGAUAUUGCAGGAUUCCUGUUGUCCUGCCAGAAGUGCGAAGGUGUGUCUCAUCAGUGUCUCUGUGUUCCCAACACUUUUAAGAUUUAUUUAUUAUAUGUAAGUACACUGUUGCUGUCUUCAGACACACCAGAAGAGGGCAUCAGAUCUCAUUACGGAUGGUUGUGAGCCAUCGUGUGGUUGCUGGGAUUUGAACUCAGGACCUUCGGAAGGGCAGUCAGUGCUCUUAACCACUGAGACAAGGGCUAUGUACAAGGGUCCAUGUAUUGUUGCGGAUGGCCUGUCCUAAGCCCCGAGCCUCCGUGAUUGCACAGCAGAAGCCUUGGCCUCCUGUCGUCGCCCAGAUGCCCUCUAGAAACGGUGCUCUGGAGCCCGCAGCUGCACGUGCUGCUCAGGCUUAGGAGGAAGCCCUCGAUGAGUAGUGACCAGGCCUCAAAUGUCAUGGACACUAGCCUGGUCUAUGUGUGUCCCAGCACACUCAGAGGUUUGCACACACAGCACAACCGUCGUGGAGGGAAACUCCAUCCACUCCGAAUGUCUCAAAGGGAGAGGAGAGGCCUGCUUAGGCAAGCCAAAAGGACCGGACAAAGGGAAGCUCCUUGUUUUGUUUUAGGGUUUGGGAUGGAACCCAGGCCCCAUGCCUACUAGGCAAGCACUCUACCAUCGAGCCACACCACCAACCCUAAGCUACAUCUUAAAAAUGGAAUAUUUAGCCGGGUGUGGUGGCACACAUCUUUAAUCCCAGCACUCGGGAGGAAGAGGCAGGCAGAUUUCUGAGUCAGGACUAUACAGAGAAACCCUGUCUCAAAAAAAAAAAAAAAAAAAAAAAAAAAACCCGGAAUAUUUAUUUUAAAGGGAUAGAAUGUUUCAGCCAAGUUAAAAGCUAGUGGUUGAGCUUGCAUCCCUUUAAGUUGCCAGCUCCCGGGUGUUGCAGCUCAUUCACCAGCCACUAGAUGGCGCACGAACACACUUAACAGGGUUUCCUGGUGCCUCUUUUGCUGGUCCCUGCCUUUUCCUGGAGAUACUGCAAGCCUGAUGCUGGGCUGUUAAUGCCACCACCUGUGCCAGAGUCUGACAAGAACAAGAGCCCGCAGGAAGGCUGUGACUGGGGACACUCAUGGUCAGCCCAGUUCCUGGUGCUGGCACAUACCCUGUGCCACUCACAUCACCACAUCACCCUCAGGACCAGAGAU